ACUGAGAGGGGUUUUUGACUUAUGUUUCGUCGUUAAUGCCUUGGAGCGCCGUUUAUAAAGUUUCUCAAUUACACAGAAUAUCAAACUCACGAAAACCUAAGUAUGAUUUUUCCUUCUCCCUCCUUGAAUUAUUGUUACGGCGGCGAUUGGUCAUCCCCAGAUAAUUUUCUACCUUCCUUUUUCAUCUUAAUAUCCAAGCUUUGUGGGUAUGGUUUCGACGGUGGAAUUUGCAAAGGAGCUACACUGGUGGUGGAGGCGACACUGGUGGUAGAACUGGAAAAAGUAGAGGAUUUAGUGGUUGAAUAGGUGCAGAUGGAGAUGAAAUUGGCUGCGAGAUUCUUUCACUCAGUCAAUUCGGUGGCGUUACGCGACUUCCAUAGCGACACAACCCAACCGCUAGCACGACUAGGGUCAAUUUCUCUUUGAAUCUCGGUAUAUCAAAGGACCUCUAAACACACAAAGUAUUUAAAACUCGGUGACCGAUAAAGUUGAAUGCCAAAAUGUUCAGAAGAUAACACAUAAGGUGUUUAAAGUCGAAGUCUCGCGCGUGAUCGAGUUUUGGGUUUUGGAGGGGGAACAACAAACAAAAUCAGGUUCUUACCGUUUGCACGGAUACGGUACAAGAAGAAAAAAAUGCACUUAAGAGUCACAUGAGUCCAAUUGAAGAUGAGCUUAAUGAGCUUAAAGCAUUUAAAGAAGUGUUCUUACAACGCUUUUCAAGAGAUAACACUCCAAGAGAGAACACUUCAACUAGUUAAUUUUUUUAUUUUAUUCUUUUAGAUUAAACAAGAAUUACUUUUUUUUAGCUUUUUUAGAAUUUAAAGACAAGGGGGCGUGAUUUUUGAUUUCACAUAACUUAAAAUUCUAUUGUUAAACAUCUUUUGAGUAAUGAAAUUUUCAUUUGUUUUAA